UACGUAGGUGGCAAGCGUUGUCCGGAUUUACUGGGCGUAAAGGGUGCGCAGGCGGACAUUUAAGUCAGCUGUGAAAUACCCGAGCUUAACUUGGGUGCUGCAUUUGAAACUGGGUGUCUAGAGUGCAGGAGAGGUAAGUGGAAUUCCUAGUGUAGCGGUGAAAUGCGUAGAGAUUAGGAAGAACACCAGUGGCGAAGGCGACUUACUGGACUGUAACUGACGCUGAGGCAUGAAAGCGUGGGGAGCAAACAGG
rnacentral:rRNA from 1 species